UGCGUCCCCCAAAACCGCACCUCGGAGGGCUCCUGAGCCUCGGGCUGUGCCGCUCCCUGGACAAACCGCCCCCCCACCACUUUCUGGGAAUUCCCCUUAACUUCAAAGAAACUUUCCCCCUACUGGCGCCACACAGAUUUCCGAAGGCAGCUGCCGACUGAGCCCGGCAGCUGGAGGCCCUCCCGGGUAGGAAGGGAGGACGGAAGAAGCAGACGCGCCUCGCCGGCGGUGCCUCCAGUCUUCCGUCCCCACGGCGGGUCGCGCUCCCGGCGGCGCUGUCAGACUGACGCGCGCCUGGCACCCACUGCCCAUCUCCGCCUGAAACCCUCCUCAGACGUGGGAAUGCGUCCAGGGAAUGCGGCGACAGAGAUGGUUGCUCACAGCCAAAUACAUUGUGCUGGCAGCAUCCAUGACACUGGACACAGCUCAUCCGUACCAACCAGGAGACUACCUCGAAACCUGGACUGAGGAGCCUCUCCAAGAAAAGUGGAAGGGACCAUAUCAAAUGCUGCUAACCAUCAGUACUUGUGUGAAGGUGCAAGAAGUAGACUUGUGGCUCCCCAAUUUAGGAUGGUUAAAACAACUCUUUGUACUUAUUGUGCUGUUCUUAUGCUCUUGAUCACUUGUUGCAAUACAUACUGCUGUAUAGACUAGGCCAAUACAAUAAGUCAAUAUGAGACUUUGAAGAAAUUAUAUUAAAGUCUCAAAGGGGCAAUUUGUUACCAAACAAGUUAUAUCAUUAUGAAUAAACUGAUUUUUAUAAUGAUGUUGUGAUUUGUUGUUAUUAGGAAUUAGUUAUUGUUCGCUAUGUAACCUAGCUUACUGCUUCUAGAAUUUAUUUCCCAGCUUUUGGUGACACAGUGUCUUGGUUAAAAGACAAAUGCCUGCCAAGGAAGGCGGGAACCUUCCUGGAAUGCAAAGAUGACCCCUCCUUCAAAAUUACUUUAACUUAGAAAUUACAGGGCUUUGAGGCAAAAAUAUAGGAAAGGAAAUAACAGUUCUUUACUAGAAAGUAUGUAUACAUGUAGAUGUGUAAGAGAGCAAACAGACAACACCACAGAAACAGAAGUUUCAACACCUGCUGAACACUGUGUUUCCCCUCUGGUGUAGUUAUGACCAUGGUUGGCAGGGGAUGAGACAGAGAGCCUACCAUGAUCCACUCAUCCGGCACCAGGAGGGAAGGAAAGAAAUUGCUCCUUGUGCCAAGUCAGGGGCAGCGUUCGAUCUCCGCACUACCAAGGAGCAGCUGGCAGAAGCAGGGGAAGCAGGCAGAUUCAACCAUAGUGCCGAAUUGCAGCAUAGCAAUGUCCUGGAGCCGAAUGCACAACUGUUCUACAGCACCACCAAUGUCCCACGGCACUGCGCAACUGCUCCCUCUGAUCCGCAGAAAUGGCAGAAAGGGGAGAAGGACCCACCCCCCCACCAAAGUCUCAUGUGGAGCCCAAAACUUCUCACACAAAAUCCCUAGUGUAGUAUAUAGUAGAGAUAAUUCAUGCUAUAUAUGUGUAUAAAAUCCAAAUGAUGUCUUUGACCACCCUGGCUGGGAGCAGAGUCUUAUUUCUAUUCAAUUAGUUCCUGGAAAACCUUAAGAUAAUAUCAAGUACAUUAACGUAUGAAUGAAACCUUCCCAGGACAUGAUUGCUGAUUUCCCUGGAAUGUCUAAGCCACUCACAAGGACUUGCACCUGGGAAGAUUGCAUCUACCAACUCAAGCACCGAACCACUCUGCUAUGUGUGAAUGAAGGCUAUCCCAAAAAUUUCAGACAACCAGCCAGACAUCUGGACUGGCUUUUAUAUAUUUCUGCAUCUGUAUGGUCCCAGUUCUACAUGUGAAGGGACACAAAGGAACAUUAGGUCAUUUCUGCCUCAGGCAGAAUAAACUGUAUAUAAGCCAGCUGCAUGAAGCAGCCGGGGUGAACUACUGGGGAGAUGCUAACACUUUGUCGGUCGGAUCCCGGUUGACCCAGUGCCGACUCCCGGGGUUGACGCUGCCUUGGCUGUGGUGGUUUUUCGAAAUUCUAUUUUUGUUGUCGAUCUAAUAAAUCUUUGUUAAAUUUUAUUAUAAAUUUGGCUGCCGAUUUAUAACACUAGUGUUAUAUCAUUUAUAACACUACUGUUAUAAACAAAUAUGUAAUUGUUGGCUUUCACUAUUGUAUAUUGGCUUUUACAAAAUAUUUUGAUAUAGUAGAGUUUGUAUUCUCUUUUUAACUGCUUUUAAUAUAAUUUGUCAGCCUUUUAUGGUUGCCCUAAUCCCUGCAUAGAUUCUAUAUUUUAUUGUGAUAAUAUAUAGUUUAGGCUUUUGCAAAAUAUUAAAAUAGAUGCUUUGUGCUGUGUAUUAUAACAUUAACUUUCGUGGAAGUAAUUGUUGUUGUGAAAUAAUAACUAAUGCCUUUAUUUUUGUAACUAACAAAGUUAAAAUAAUAGUAAAAUAGCUAA